AGUGAUGCUGAAUGCAUGACAUUGUGUUUUUGUAGAUUUAUUUUUCUGUCCUUGUUCUAUAUUCUUUCGGAGGGAGACAGGGCUUAGAUGGCAACCAUUGCUUCAGCUAUCUGGAAUUCCUCAAUUUAUUUUAACUUUAUACACCGUCUUUUCUCCCACAUCUCUCUUCAUUAUGAGCAGACUCAUUCAUUCACAAUAUGUUUAGUGAGUGCUAUGUGCCAGGCAUGGUUCCAGGGAUAUAGUAAUAAACAAAACAAAUGUCUUUGUCCUCAUAAAUAUUAUAUUCCAGUGGUAGAGACAAAGAAUAAAACAAAUAAGUGAAUAUAUACUAUAAUGUUAGGUAGUGAUUAAUGCUAUGUUUAAAAAUAAACAAGCUAUGUGCAGUGGUACACUCCUGUCGUCCCAGCUGCUUGGGAGGCAGAGACAGAAUGAUCCCUUGAGCCUAGGAAUUUGAGUAGCCAAUGCACUUCAGCCUGAGCAACAAAACAAGACUCUCUCUAAAUGUAUAGCUGUAUCAGUCAAGAACUUGGGGACAUUCUAGUGCUACCUACAAUAGUUGAGAAAGACCUCUCUGAGAAAGUGUCACAUGAGUAACUUUUGUUUUGUUAUAGGAUAGUCAGUACAUCUGUUUAUAUGAGCAUUUACCUUUUGUAAAUCAAUAAGAUUUUGCCACUGAUUAGGUUUCCAUGAUAAAUUGUUUAAUUUUAAAACCUCUGUAGUAGAAUGGGCAUGUGAUAUUGUGAAAUUCAUACCAAAUAAGAAGAAUUUUACAGAAAGUAAAACCUCAAGCUGUCUACUAUUCAACUCUUCUUGUUCUGCUAUAGAGAACUGAUAUUGAUAGAAGAUUAUUUAAGGAACAUAUAUAAUCUAUCCUUUUCUUUAGAAACUCUACAUUUUAUGCUUAGACCAUCAGAAAAACUGUUUACUUGAAGACGGUUUAUAGAAAAACCCUUUACCCUGACGUAUAUUGAUUUGUUGCUUUUUGCUUUUUGAGACAGGAUCCCGCUGUGUCACCCACACUAGAAUGCAGCGGUAUGAUCUUAGCUCACUGCAACCUCAAAUUCUGGGGCUGAAGCAAUCCUUCUACCUCAGCCUCCCUGGUAGUUGGGACUACAGGCGUGUGCCACAAUACCUACCUAAUUUCUGAGUUGUUUUUUUAUAUUGAAGCCUUUAUCUUUCAUUGAGGAAUACUACAAUAAACAGUCUGAGCUUGCUGUUGAGAAGUUGUUGAGGACAACAUAGUCUUUUGUAUUAAUUAAUGUUUAACAUGUUAUGAAGAGUUCAUUUUAAUAUCACUUGUUUCUUAUAAGAAAGUGACAUUUUUAUCUCUUCAAGAAUGAAAAGUAGAAAACUAAACAUGUCUUACUUUUUGCUUUCACUGUCAAGAAAUCAGAAACAAAUUCAGAGCUAAUUCAAGACACUUCUGCCAUGUAUUUCCUCUUCUCCCCAAUCUUAUACUGUUCUGUUUUCCCUGAUUUUUUUUUUUUUUUUUUAGGUUGUCUCACUAAUUAUGGAACAAUGGCAGGGAUGUGUAUGACAGAGAGAGCAGAUAGAUACGUCAGUAGCCUGGAAUGCUGUUGCCUCCUCACAUCAUUAGUUGUAUGAGCAUAGGUGAGUUAGGCAACAUUUCUGGGCUGUUAAUUUCAUCUGCAAAAUGAGAGGAUUGAAAGAUCAAAUAUGUUUAGCUGCAGAACUAAAUGGGAAAUAAUUUAGAAGCCCAUGGGAAAUAAUUUAGAAGCCCAAAACUAUAAGCCAGUUAGUAGCAGAACUGCUGUGGUCAGGCCAUUGCCAUAGUGGCAGGGAAACUAAGCUUCAUUUUUUAUCCAGAUCAUAUUAGAACUGCCUCUUGGAACAAAGAAACACUACCUCCAGUGUUUCCACAGUACAGUGUUCUGUACUAUAGCCUUGACAACACUACUUUUUCCCCCACGACAGCCAAGUUUUACAUUGUGUAGCGGGCCUCCUUUUUGCCAUCUUCGUGAAGAUUCUGAAUUUUUCUGGAUGGAUAAAAAUCGUAAGAUAAUAAAUGGAUAUUUCUGUGUUGUUGUUUUUUUAAUCAAUGGUUUGCAAAAUCACCUGGAAGGCUUGGGAAAACACACAUUGCUGUGGGCUACCCACACAGGUUUCUGAUUUAUUAAGUCUGGGGUGACCAAUAAUUUGCAUUUUUAGCAACUUUCCAAAUGAUUCAGAAAUUAUACUUUGAGAACUACUAUCUUAUGUCAGUAUUAAAAAUGGAUUUUAGUACUUUUCUUAUUUUAAAAAUGACAUCAAAUUCUAUAACUUAGUAAUACUCAGAAGACAAUUCGUAUCUAAGUAAUAAAUGGUUUAAUGUUAAAAUCACAUUUGAAGUUUCCAAUGUCAUGGAGCAAGUGAGAAACUGGUUUGAAAGGUUUCCUAUCUAGGGUCAAGGCCUAUCUAUCCCUUUUUGACUUCUUGUGCUAUUGGUGCAAAUGGAUAGCAAUUAAUCCUCCAGCGAUCAGGAUUUGAUUCAGCAAUAAAGAAAUUAUUGAUGUCUGAAAGCAGCCCUUUCCUUUUCACAUGUUGGCAGCACCUAAGAAGAAUACGUCAGGGUCAAUAUAAGUGCACUUAUUGACAGUUCGGCUCUUUCCAAUGUUACAGAAAAUGAUUUCAAGUUUAGCUCUUAUCAAAAACAGAAAUACUGACUACUUUGAAUGAUAUAAACAAUAGCUUUCAGCUUAGUCAUUUUCCAUUUAUAAAGUGAUACUUUUAUAGAAAUAAACAAUGCAAACUUCAGAGAGCCAAAACAAUUACCCAGAAAAAUGAUUGCAUUUUUGCCAUUUUUAACUUAGAUUUAAAACAACUGUGUCUGGUAGUACCACUGUUUUGUGAUCUGUUAAGUUAAAACUAGUUAAAAUCACUUAAUGGUAAAAUACCGCCAAAAAGAGCAAUCAUCUUCAAUUACGUUCUUCAAGAUCACUUGUAUUCUCUGUUACUUCUCUUUCAGAGCCUGAGCCAUGUAUUUCUUAAACUUUUUCAUCAUCUAAAAUUUUGUAUUUAUAAAAUUUACACUAAAACCUCAAUUAUUAGUUUCAUGAAUCAGAAGUUGCAACUAGUUUCAUUUCUGGCUCACCAAGAUUUGUCAGUUUUUGGACGAAAGGGACUCCCUAUUCAGAGUAUCCCUUUAAAUCUUUUUUGAAAGUGUACCUUUGAUGUGUACAUGUUUUUAUGUUAAUUAUUGCUUCUGAACAUAUUCUGCGAAAAAAAUUAAGUUAUGGAAACAACCUAAAUGUCCACAAGCAGGAAGAUAAAUACAUUGUGAUAGAUCCAUACAAUGCAAUAUCAUUCAUUCAUAAAAAGGAAUAAAGUACUAAUACAUGAUAUAAUGUGAAUGAACCUCAAAAUCAUGAAAAUGGAAGAAGCCAGACAUAAAAGAGCAUAUAUUAUUUGAUUCCAUUUAUAUGAAGUAGCCAUAAUAGGUAAAUCCGUAGAAACAAAAAGUAGAUUGGUGGUUGCCAGGGGCUUGUAUGUAGUGAGGAAUGGGGAAUAAAUUUUUAAUAGGAAGAUAGGGUUUCUACUUAGGGUGCUAAAAAUGUUUUGAAGUAGAUAGAGAUAAUGGUUGCACAACACUGUGAAUAUAAUUUUAUGUGAAUUUCACCUCAAUU